rnacentral:rRNA from 1 species
AGUGAACGCUGGCGGUAGGCCUAACACAUGCAAGUCGAACGGCAGCACAGUAAGAGCUUGCUCUUACGGGUGGCGAGUGGCGGACGGGUGGGGAAUACAUCGGAAUCUACUUUUUCGUGGGGGAUAACGUAGGGAAACUUACGCUAAUACCGCAUACGACCUACGGGUGAAAGCAGGGGAUCUUCGGACCUUGCGCGAUUGAAUGAGCCGAUGUCGGAUUAGCUAGUUGGCGGGGUAAAGGCCCACCAAGGCGACGAUCCGUAGCUGGUCUGAGAGGAUGAUCAGCCACACUGGAACUGAGACACGGUCCAGACUCCUACGGGAGGCAGCAGUGGGGAAUAUUGGACAAUGGGCGAAAGCCUGAUCCAGCCAUACCGCGUGGGUGAAGAAGGCCUUCGGGUUGUAAAGCCCUUUUGUUGGGAAAGAAAAGCAGCAGGUUAAUACCCCGCUGUUCUGACGGUACCCAAAGAAUAAGCACCGGCUAACUUCGUG